AGUUGGUGCGGUAACGGCGCACCAAGCCGACGAUCAGUAGCCGACCUGAGAGGGUGACCGGCCACAUUGGGACUGAGACACGGCCCAAACUCCUACGGGAGGCAGCAGUGGGGAAUAUUGCACAAUGGGGGAAACCCUGAUGCAGCGACGCCGCGUGAAGGAAGAAGUAUUUCGGUAUGUAAACUUCUAUCAGCAGGGAAGAAGAUGACGGUACCUGACUAAGAAGCCCCGGCUAACUAC
rnacentral:rRNA from 1 species